rnacentral:rRNA from 1 species
AUUAUGGCUCAGGAUGAACGCUGGCGGCGUGCCUAACACAUGCAAGUCGAACGAAGCAUAUCUAACGGAGAUUCGUCGAAGCUGGAUAUGACUUAGUGGCGGACGGGUGAGUAAUGUAUGAGCAACCUGCCUUUCAGAGGGGGACAACAGUUGGAAACGACUGCUAAUACCGCAUAACGUAUUUGGGUGGCAUCACUUGGAUACCAAAGGAGCAAUCCGCUGAAAGAUGGGCUCAUAUCUGAUUAGCUUGUUGGCGGGGUAACGGCCCACCAAGGCGACGAUCAGUAGCCGGGCUGAGAGGUUGAACGGCCACAUUGGGACUGAGACACGGCCCAGACUCCUACGGGAGGCAGCAGUGGGGAAUAUUGCACAAUGGGCGAAAGCCUGAUGCAGCAACGCCGCGUGAGGGAAGACGGUUUUCGGAUUGUAAACCUUUGUCCUUGGUGAAGAUCAUGACGGUAGCCGAGGAGGAAGCCACGGCUAACUACGUGCCAGCAGCGGC